GAUGAACGCUGGCGGCGUGCUUAACACAUGCAAGUCGAACGGGGUGAUUCCUUCGGGGAUCGCUUAGUGGCGAACGGGUGAGUAACGCGUGAGGAACCUGCCUUUCAGUGGGGGACAACAGUUGGAAACGACUGCUAAUACCGCAUAACGCAGCUAGACCGCAUGGUCUUACUGCCAAAGCUUUAUGUGCUGAAAGAUGGCCUCGCGUCUGAUUAGCUAGUAGGCGGGGUAACGGCCCACCUAGUCUACGAUGUCUAGGGGUUCUGAGAGGAAGGUCCCCCACACUGGAACUGAGACACGGUCCAGACUCCUACGGGAGGCAGCAGUGAGGAAUAUUGGUCAAUGGUCGGAAGACUGAACCAGCCAAGUAGCGUGAAGGAUGAAGGUUCUAUGGAUUGUAAACUUCUUUUAUACGGGAAUAAAACCUCCUACGUGUAGGAGCUUGUAUGUACCGUAUGAAUAAGCAUCGGCUAACUCCGUG
rnacentral:rRNA from 1 species